rnacentral:rRNA from 1 species
UACGAAGGGGGCGAGCGUUGUUCGGAAUUACUGGGCGUAAAGGGCGCGUAGGCGGCGACCCAAGUCAGAUGUGAAAGUCCUGGGCUUAACCUGGGGACUGCAUUUGAUACUGGGUUGCUUGAAUUCGGGAGAGGAUAGCGGAAUUCCCAGUGUAGAGGUGAAAUGCGUAGAUAUCUGGAGGAACACCGGUGGCGAAGGCGGCAUCCUGGACCGGUAUUGACGCUGAGGCGCGAAAGCUAGGGGAGCAAACGGG